rnacentral:rRNA from 1 species
UGGGGAAUAUUGCACAAUGGGCGCAAGCCUGAUGCAGCAACGCCGCGUGAGGGACGACGGCCUUCGGGUUGUAAACCUCUUUUAGUAGGGAAGAAGCGAAAGUGACGGUACCUGCAGAAAAAGCACCGGCUAACUACGUGCCAGCAGCCGCGGUAAUACGUAGGGUGCAAGCGUUGUCCGGAAUUAUUGGGCGUAAAGAGCUCGUAGGCGGUUUGUCGCGUCUGCUGUGAAAACCCGAGGCUCAACCUCGGGCCUGCAGUGGGUACGGGCAGACUAGAGUGCGGUAGGGGAGAAUGGAAUUCCUGGUGUAGCGGUGGAAUGCGCAGAUAUCAGGAGGAACACCGAUGGCGAAGGCAGUUCUCUGGGCCGUAACUGACGCUGAAGGAGCGAAGCGUGGGGAGCGAACAGGAUUAGAUACCCUGGUAGUCCACGCCGUAAACGUUGGGCGCUAGAUGUGGGGACCAUUCCACGGUUUCCGUGUCGCAGCUAACGCAUUAAGCGCCCCGCCU